UACGGGGGGGGCAAGCGUUGUUCGGAAUUAUUGGGCGUAAAGAGCUCGUAGGCGGUUUGUCGCGUCUGCUGUGAAAACCGGAGGCUCAACCUCCGGCCUGCAGUGGGUACGGGCAAACUAGAGUGCGGUAGGGGAGAUUGGAAUUCCUGGUGUAGCGGUGGAAUGCGCAGAUAUCAGGAGGAACACCGAUGGCGAAGGCAGAUCUCUGGGCCGGUACUGACGCUGAGAAGCGAAAGCGUGGGGAGCAAACAGG
rnacentral:rRNA from 1 species